rnacentral:rRNA from 1 species
ACUUUUAACAACAGAUCUCUUAGUUCUAGCAUUAAUAAAGAACGCAGCGAAAUGCGAUAAGUAGUGUAAAUUGUAGAAUUUAGUAAAUUAUUAAAUCUUUAAACGCAUAUUGCGCCCCUUAGUAUUCUAUAGGGCAUGCCUGUUUAAGCGUUAUUUGUACCCUUAAGCUCUGCUUAGUAUUAGGUAUUUGUUCUACUUAGGACUCGCCUUAAAACAAUUGGCAGCUAGCAUAUUAGCCUAGAGCGCAGCACAUUUUACGCCUCUUGUUAUAGUUAUUAGUAUCUAUUAAGAUACUUUUUAAGCUCUUAACCUUAGAUUAGGUAGGGAUACCCGCUAAACUUAAGUAUAUUAAUAAGCGGAGGAAAAGAAACUAAUAGGGAUUGCCCUAGUAACAGCGAGUGAAGCGGCAACAGCUUAAAUUUAAAAUCUAGCUCUUUUAGGGUCUAAGUUGUAAUUUGCAGAGGGCGCUUUAGCGUUAGUAGCAGUCUAAGUUCCUUGGAACAGGACGUUAUAGAGGGUAAGAAUCCUGUACGUAGUUGCUAGCCUUCGCUAUGUAAAGCCCCUUUAACAAGUUAAGUUGUUUAGGAAUACAGCUCUAAAUAGGAGGUAAAUUUCUUCUAAAGCUAAAUACUAGCUAGAGACUAAUAGCGCACAAGUAGAGUGAUUAAAAGAUAAAAAGCACUUUAGAAAGAGAGUUAAAUAGCACGUGAAAUUGUUGAAAGGGAAGCGCUUGUAGCUAGACUUGCCUAUAGUUGCUUAUCUAGGCUUUUGUCUAGUGCACUCUUCUAUAGGUAGGCUAGCAUUAGUUUAGGUGGUUAGAUAAAGGUCUCUGUCACGUACCUCCCUUUAGGGAGGCCUUAUAGGGGAGACAACAUGCAACCAGCCUAGACUAAGGUCCGCGUAUCUGCUAGGAUGCUAGCGUAAUAGCUAUAAGCGGCCUAUCUUAAAAUAUAGACUAAGGAGUCUAACAUCUAUGUAAGUGUUUAGGUGUUAAGCCUAGACGCGUAAUAAAAGUGAAUAGAGGUAGGAACCCUUUUAGGGUGCACUAUUAACCAAUCCUAAUAUCUUUAGAAGGAUUUAAGUAAGAGCAUAGCUGUUAGGACCUAAAAGAUAGUGAACUAUGCUUGAAUAGGGUAAAGCUAGAGGAAACUCUAGUAGAGGCUUGUAGUGGUUCUAACGUGCAAAUUAAUCAUUAAAUUUAGGUAUAGGGGCGAAAGACUAAUUAAACUAUCUAGUAGCUAGUUCCUGCUAAAGUUUCCCUUAGGAUAGCAGUAACGUAUUUAGUUUUAUAAGGUAAAGCAAAUAAUUAGAGGCCUAGGGGUUAAAACAACCUUUACCUAUUCUUAAACUUUAAAUAUAUAAGAAGUCCUUAUUACUUAAUUAAACGUGGACACUUAAAUAUACUGUUACUAGUAGGCUAUUUUUAGUAAGUAGAACUAGUAAUACAGGAUAAACUAAACGUAGGGUUAAGGUGCUAGAAUGCACACUUAUUAGACACUAUAAAAGGUGUUAGUUUAUCUAGAUAGCAGGACAGUAGCUAUAAAAGUUAGAAUCUGCUAAGGAGUGUGUAAUAACUCACCUGCUAAAUAAACUAGCCCUAAAAAUAGAUAGCGCUUAAGCGUGUUACCUAUACCCCGCUGCCGGGGCAAGAUUUAAGCCCUAGCGAGUAGGCAGGCGUAGAGGCUUGUGACAAAGCCUUAGGGGUAACCCUAGGUAGAACAGCCUCUAGUGCAGAUCUUAGUAGUAGUAGCAAAUACUUAAAUAAGAACUUUAAGGACUAAAGUAGGGAAAGGUUCCGUGUAAACAGCAGUUAGACACGGGUUAGUUAAUCCUAAGAGAUAGGGUAAUUCUAUUUUAAUAUUAGUGCUUGCGCCGCGCCCUUAAAAGGGAAGCUAGUUAAUAUUCUAGCACCUAGAUAUAGAUUCUCUGCGGCAACGCAACUAAGAGUAGAGACCUUAGCAGGAGCCCUAAGAAGAGUUCUCUUUUCUUCUUAACAGUCUAUUACCCUAAAAUUAGUUUGUUUAGAGCUAGGGUUUAAUAGCUAGAAGAGUGCUGCACUUUUGCGGUAUUUAGUGCGCUCCUAACAAGCCUUAAAAAUCUACUUAAAGAAAUAGUUUUUACGCUAGGUCGUACUUAUAACUAUAGUAGGUCUCUAAGGUAAAAAGCCUCUAGUUAAUAGAAUAAUGUAGAUAAGGGAAGUUAGUAAAAUAGAUCUGUAACUUUAGGAAAAGGAUUAGCUCUAAGGGUUAGGUACGUUAGGCCUUAGGGAGAAGCCUCUAGCGCAGAAGGGCACUAACCGCAAGGUAGGCGCCUCUUAGCGCUAGGGUGCAGACACCCUUAGCAGGUUUUGGCUAUCUAGCGUACGUUUAACAACUAACUUAGAACUAGUAUAGAUAAGGGGAAUCUAACUGUCUAAUUAAAAUAUAGUAUUACAAUAGCUAGAAAGUAGUAUUAAUAUAAUAUGAUUUCUGCCUAGUGCUCUAAAUAUUAAAGCGAAGAGAUUUGACUAAGCGCGGGUAAAUAGCGGGAGUAACUAUAACUCUCUUAAGGUAGCUAAAUGCCUUAUUAUCUAAUUAGUAACGCGCAUAAAUAGAUUAAUAAGAUUCCUACUAUCCCUAUCUACUAUCUAGCAAAACUAUAGCUAAGGGAACAGGCUUAGCUAAAUUAGCGGGGAAAGAAGACCCUAUUAAGCUUAACUCUAGUUUAACAUUAUAAAAAGAUAUAGGGGGUGUAGAAUAGGUAGGAGCUUUAGCGCUAGUGAAAUACUACUACCCUUAUUGUUUUUUUACUUAUUUAAUAAAGCGGAGCUAGGCCUUACUACCUAACUUCUAGCGUUUAAGGUCCUUUGUAGGCUAAUCUAGGUUAAAGACAUUGUUAGGUAGGGAGUUUAGCUAGGGCAGCACAUCUAUUAAACUAUAACGCAGGUGUCCUAAGGGGGACUUAUAGAGAAUAGAAAUCUCUAGUAGAGUAAAAGGGCAAAAGUCCCCUUAAUUUUAAUUUUUAGUGUAAAUACAAACUAUAAAAGUGUAGCCUAUUAAUCCUUUAGUCCCUUAAAAUUUAAGGCUAGAGGUGCUAGAAAAGUUACCACAGGGAUAACUAGCUUGUGGUAGCUAAGCGUUUAUAGCGACGUUGCUUUUUAAUCCUUUAAUAUUAGCUCUUCCUAUUAUACUAAAGCAGAAUUUAGUAAGCGUUAGAUUGUUCACCUACUAAUAGGGAACGUAAGCUAGGUUUAGACCGUCGUAAGAUAGGUUAGUUUUACCCUACUAAUAACCUUGCCCUAAUAGUAAUACCGCUUAGUACGAGAGGAACUGCGGUUUUAGAUAAUUAGUUUUUGCGGCUGUCUAACUAGGCAUUGCCACAAAGCUACUAUCUGCUAGAUUAUAGCUAAACGCCUCUAAGUUAGAAUCUAUGCUAGAAUAGGGUGAUUUCCGCCUACACUAGUUAGAUACAAAUAGGCCUUUGGCCCAGAACCUUACUAGAUUAGCGUUGGCAGCCCUAUUAAAGUUAGGGUUGUUAGCUAGUGUAUUAUAAUUAUAUAGUGCGCAGGAUUAAAUCCUUUGUAGAUAACUUAGUUGUCUAGCUAGGUCGUGUAAGUAGUUAAGUAGCCUUAUUAUUACGAGCUACUAAGCGUAAGCCCGUUGCUAGCUUAGUUAAAAUUGGGAUAUUAUACCCUCCUUAUUUGCAAAACUGCUGCCUAAAUAGCUACUGUUAAUAGAAGGAAGAGGGCCAUAGCGAAUAAGUUAUAUAGUAAUUGCAAGAUAGCGAGGGCUAGAGCUAGGAGCAAUCCUCGCAAAAUAUACAAAAGAAUAGGUUGUGUGUGUACGUACCUUAGGCAGUUAAUAUAUAGCAUAGGAAGAUUAAGAAAGGAUUUAAGAUAAUCUAUAUAGAUUUUUAGGUAGUGAUCUAUAACUUAAGAGCGUUCUAUAACUUUUUAUUUUUUAGGGGUAGUGUUCUAUAACUCUAGGGCGUUCUAUAACUUUAGGGCGUUCUAUAACUUUAGGGCAUUCUAUAACUUUUUAUUUUUUAGGGUUAGUAUUCUAUAAUAUUAGAGUGUUCUAUAACUUUUUCUUUUUUAGAGGUAGUGUUCUAUAAUAUUAGAGUGUUCUAUAACUUUUUAUUUUUUAGGGUUAGUAUUCUAUAAUAUUAGAGUGUUCUAUAACUUUUUCUUUUUUAGAGGUAGUGUUCUAUAACUUUAGGGCGUUCUAUAACUUUUUAUUUUUUAGAGGUAGUGUUCUAUAACUUUAGGGCGUUCUAUAACUUUUUCUUUUUUAGAGGUAGUGUUCUAUAAUAUUAGAGUGUUCUAUAACUUUUUAUUUUUUAGGGGUAGUGUUUUAUAACUUUAGGGCGUUCUAUAACUUUUUCUUUUUUAGAGGUAGUGUUCUAUAAUAUUAGAGUGUUCUAUAACUUUUUCUUUUUUAGAGGUAGUGUUCUAUAACUUUAGGGCGUUCUAUAACUUUAGGGCGUUCUAUAACUUUAGGGCGUUCUACAACUUUUUAUUUUUUAGGUGUAGUGUUCUAUAACUUUAGGGCGUUCUAUAACUUUUUCUUUUUUAGAGGUAGUGUUCUAUAACUUUAGAGCGUUAUAUAACUUUUUCUUUUUUAGAGGUAGUGUUCUAUAACUUUAAAGCGUUCUACAACUUUUUAUUUUU